rnacentral:SRP_RNA from 1 species
GCCGGGCGUGGUGGUGGGCACCUGUAAUCCCAGCUACUUGGGAGGCUGAGGCAGGAGAAUCCCUUGAACCUGGGAGGUGGAGUUUGCAGUGAGCUGAGAUGGCGCCACUGCACUCUAGUCUGGGUGACAGAGCGAGACUCUGUCUCAAAAAAAAAAAAAAGUGUAAUAAAAUACACAUAGCAUAAAUGUAUCAUUUUAACCCCCUGUCUCCCAGGCUGGAGUGCAGUGGUACGAUCUCAGCCCAGUGCAAUCUCCACCUCCCAGGUUCAAGGGAUUCUCCUGCCUCA